UAAACCCCAAACCCUAAAC
rnacentral:snRNA from 1 species